rnacentral:misc_RNA from 1 species
UUCAGUUAGGCGUUCCAGCAUAGUGAUUAUAUUAGCUGUAGAAAUGUCUUUUGUAUGCAGUCAAUAGCUAAUGAAGUCCAGGGUUUCUGUUGAGAAGAAGCCUGAUGAGACGUCUGAUGGUUUUUGAAGGCAGGAAUUUGGUUGGAUGGAUUUCCUGAAUUAUUGACCUCGGAUCAGGUGAGGAUACCCGCUGAAUUUAA